GACGAACGCUGGCGGCGUGCUUAACACAUGCAAGUCGAACGGUGAUCUUGAGAGCUUGCUCUUGGGUGAUCAGUGGCGAACGGGUGAGUAACACGUGAGUAACCUGCCCCUGACUCUGGAAUAACUUCGGGAAACCGAAGCUAAUACCGGAUAUGACACAGAGCCGCAUGGUUUCUGUGUGGAAAGUUUUUCGGUUGGGGAUGGACUCGCGGCCUAUCAGCUUGUUGGUGAGGUAAUGGCUCACCAAGGCGACGACGGGUAGCCGGCCUGAGAGGGCGACCGGCCACACUGGGACUGAGACACGGCCCAGACCCCUACGGGAGGCAGCAGUGGGGAAUAUUGCACAAUGGGCGAAAGCCUGAUGCAGCGACGCCGCGUGAGGGAUGAAGGCCUUCGGGUUGUAAACCUCUUUCAGUAGGGAAGAAGCGCAAGUGACGGUACCUACAGAAGAAGCACCGGCUAACUCCGUGCCAGCAGCCGCCGUAAGAC
rnacentral:rRNA from 1 species